UGUUGUUUCCCUGAAUUUAUCAACAAGAAAUAAACCACCAUUCUCUCUCUCUCUCCCAUCUUUCUUUCUCCUUGAAUUGUUAUUUUUCUUUAUCAUCAUUCUCGAAUACCACUGCAAAGGCAAUGAGUAAGGUUUUUAUAUCAAAUCCAUUUCUGAGAAUUAAUGAUUGCAAAGAGAUAAAUACAAGAUAGGGAGUAUGGGAUCGCCAUUGCGUUGCCAGAUGAAGAGAAAAAAACGAGAGAGAUUAACAGCUUGAGAAAGUGAAGAUAGUGCUUCUUUGCAAAAAGAUUGGAAUAGUAUUUCCUUAAUUCUUUAAAUUUGAAAGCCUACAGAAGCAGUGAACAAAGCAAUGAAGAUUUGGCAGUUAGGCCACUUUAGAGUCCAUUUCUAACUACAGUUUCUGUAGCAAAACUUGAAGUGAUGAUGAUGUGUUAUUGCUCAUGCUUUAUUCAGACUAUAAAAGAACAAAAAAUGAAGAAAGAAAGGGGAGGGGUGGGGAGAAUAACUGGGCCCCAAUGUUUGAUAAUUGUCAUAUUAUCUCUAUUAGAGGUGAUUAAGAAAAGCCCAUAAUUACAAUACAUAAUGUCCAAAAAAUUUGGGCACAAUGCUAGUCCGCCUAAAGAGUGAGUGGGUUAGCAAAUCCCUAUAU